GAAUUUGGGAAAGUUGCAUUCCUUACUUUCCUUGAAUAUAAAAGUGGAGGCAGUGAUAAAAUCUACUUCCCUGGAUGGACUCUUGGCAGAAAUCAGUGAGACAGCCCAUGCACAAAGCUUCCCAGAAACAUCCAUCAGCACCCCCAAGAGGAAGAUGUCUGAGCCCCCAGAGAAUCAAUACAUGGAGAUCUCCAGAGGUUUUCCACGGGGUAGAAACAUCGACAAGGACUUCGGAAACACACCACUUGAAUACCUUCAAGGUGAAGCUUUUUAAAAAUUUUUCUUUUUCCUAGGCUGCUUUUCUUCUUAUUUUUGCAAGAAAGUAAAGCAAGAGAAAGAAUAUUUGCCUUUGUCUCUGCUUCAUGACUUUUCAUAUAAUGAUUAAAGUUCUAGCAUGUAUUAGUGCUUGUUAUUAUUAAAAUGUCUUCCUCACAACUAAA